rnacentral:rRNA from 1 species
AACGGCGGCCGUAACUAUAACGGUCCUAAGGUAGCGAAAUUCCUUGUCGGGUAAGUUCCGACCUGCACGAAUGGCGUAAUGAUGGCCAGGCUGUCUCCACCCGAGACUCAGUGAAAUUGAACUCGCUGUGAAGAUGCAGUGUACCCGCGGCAAGACGGAAAGACCCCGUGAACCUUUACUAUAGCUUGACACUGAACAUUGAGCCUUGAUGUGUAGGAUAGGUGGGAGGCUUUGAAGUGUGGACGCCAGUCUGCAUGGAGCCAACCUUGAAAUACCACCCUUUAACGUUUGAUGUUCUAACCUAGGCCCAUAAACUGGGUCGGGGACCGUGUCUGGUGGGUAGUUUGACUGGGGCGGUCUCCUCCUAAAGAGUAACGGAGGAGCACGAAGGUUGGCUAAGCAUGGUCGGACAUCAUGCGGUUAGUGCAAAGGCAUAAGCCAGCUUGACUGCGAGAGUGACGGCUCGAGCAGGUACGAAAGUAGGUCUUAGUGAUCCGGUGGUUCUGAAUGGAAGGGCCAUCGCUCAACGGAUAAAAGGUACUCCGGGGAUAACAGGCUGAUACCGCCCAAGAGUUCAUAUCGACGGCGGUGUUUGGCACCUCGAUGUCGGCUCAUCACAUCCUGGGGCUGAAGUAGGUCCCAAGGGUAUGGCUGUUCGCCAUUUAAAGUGGUACGCGAGCUGGGUUUAGAACGUCGUGAGACAGUUCGGUCCCUAUCUGCCGUGGGCGUUGGAAGAUUGAGAGGGGUUGCUCCUAGUACGAGAGGACCGGAGUGAACGCACCACUGGUGUUCGGGUUGUCAUGCCAAUGGCAUUGCCCGGUAGCUAAGUGCGGAAGAGAUAACCGCUGAAAGCAUCUAAGCGGGAAACUUGCCUCGAGAUGAGUCUUCCCUGUCGCUUUAAGCGACCUAAAGGAACGUUUAAGACUAAGACGUUGAUAGGCUGGGUGUGUAAGCGUAGCGAUACGUUGAGCUAACCAGUACUAAUGAACCGUGAGGCUUAACCUG